rnacentral:rRNA from 1 species
UUAUUGGGCGUAAGGGCUCGUAGGUGGUUGAUCGCGUCGGAAGUGUAAUCUUGGGGCUUAACCCUGAGCGUGCUUUCGAUACGGGUUGACUUGAGGAAGGUAGGGGAGAAUGGAAUUCCUGGUGGAGCGGUGGAAUGCGCAGAUAUCAGGAGGAACACCAGUGGCGAAGGCGGUUCUCCGGGCCUUUCCUGACGCUGAGGAGCGAAAGCGUGGGGAGCGAACAGGCUUAGAUACCCUGGUAGUCCACGCUGUAAACGGUGGGUACUAGGUGUGGGGUCCAUUCCACGGGUUCCGUGCCGUAGCUAACGCUUUAAGUACCCCGCCUGGGGAGUACGGCCGCAAGGCUAAAACUCAAAGGAAUUGACGGGGCCCCGCACAAGCGGCGGAGCAUGCGGAUUAAUUCGAUGCAACGCGUAGAACCUUACCUGGGUUUGACAUGGAUCGGGAGUGCUCAGAGAUGGGUGUGCCUCUUUUGGGGUCGGUCCACAGGUGGUGCAUGGCUGUCGUCAGCUCGUGUCGUGAGAUGUUGGGUUAAGUCCCGCAACGAGCGCAACCCUUGUUCACUGUUGCCAGCACGUUAUGGUGGGGACUCAGUGGAGACCGCCGGGGUCAACUCGGAGGAANGUGGGGAUGACGUCAAGUCAUCAUGCCCCUUAUGUCCAGGGCUUCACGCAUGCUACAAUGGCUGGUACAGAGAGUGGCGAGCCUGUGAGGGUGAGCGAAUCUCGGAAAGCCGGUCUCAGUUCGGAUUGGGGUCUGCAACUCGACCUCAUGAAGUC